UCAGGAACCGAUGGUUGUCACGGAUACUACGUCCAUCAUUUAUACAGUCUAUGCAAAAAGCCCGUUCGAUUUUGCACUAUUUGAGGACACAUCACAGACGUGCUCUUCCGCCUGCAGCGCACUGAUCAGCUGCUCAGGUCUGCAGCUUCAAAGUGACAAAACUUCAAACAAACUAAAUAAAGAGUGAUUCUGACCGCGCAGAUGUAAUGCCGUUUGCUACGGAUGCAUGUGGACAACUUUCUGGAGUUUACAGAGGAAAGGCAAUUAAUGCACUGGAUAAAAAAAGUGGAGACACUUCUGAGCUACAUUGGAGAGCCGGAGAUAUCCCAAGUUACCUGGUGGUGCAGGAAACCUGUGAUGUCAUGAUCGUGUGACCCCUUCCUCUACACCAUCACAAGCCCCCACAUGCCCAAUCCUAAUGUCCAAUCUAAAGCCUGAGUACUGAACCCUCAUCAACUUCAGUGAUGUCAGGUGUGCAGUGCAUGAGUCUGUGAGGACUUGAAAUGGUAUAACAAGGAGGACUGGGACAUGACAUCACACAGUGCCAGGAAACAAGAUGGGAUCUCCAGCAUACAUUUAUACAGAGGGAAUUAUGGGCUGUGAUCAGUUGGAGAGAGAGGGAGAGAGAGACGGAGGAUGCCCCGAUACAAGCCGAGGCGGCUAUCAGAGAAACUGUAAUUUCGAGCAUGCAUUAUUCAACGACGCAGUAAGAUCUGUGAAGCCUCCAGAUUAUUUACACUUUGAAAAGCACUGCCGGCGCAAUUGCAGGCAUGUCCUACAGAGCCCAGAGGUAAUAUCUCUGCAUUUGAGGAAAGAUACAAGUUUGGUAAAUUGGAGCAUGUACAUAUUUAUAAUAUUCCAGAGCUUUUCCAUCCUCAUUUGCUUAAACUGUUGACCAUGACUAAUAUAGAAAACGUCAAUUCGAUGGUAAAAUUAUUCUGAAGACAUUUUCCGACUCCACAUUCAAAAACCGGCUUGUUCAAUGUGUAUUUCAAGAUGACAGCAGUCAGUAUUGUUCCUUUGAAUGUGCUUGUUGGUUAUUUUUGCAGUCUGUGUCUGGGCCUUUUUUACAUUCAUUAUGGUAAUUAUUGGUGGCAGCCAGCGAUGACUCCUGCAUGCUGUGUGUCCACAGAGCCGACGUCACAAGAAGGGCAUGGCCCACGCACUGCACGGCAUGCAUUAACGUGCACUGUUGUCUUCCUGUGUGUGUGUGCGUGCGUUUAUUUGUGUCUAUGUGCCGCUGCUUACAGGCAUUCCCUACAAAUAUAACUCUCUGUCCUUCUAUUUCUAAUUCCUCCUCUCGCUCUUCUUCUCCUUUGUGCCUCUCUGUGCCUGGGUGCAGGGUGUGAUGCUCGGUGCUCAGUAGCUAUAAGCGUAAACAUCUCUCCAUCUCCACAUGAAGACAAACAGGGGGGCAUUAUCAGGCAGAGACGGACAGGCCCUGCAUUCAAUCUCAACUCUAAAAUAAAACCCCUGCCACCCCUUCAUUGACAUUCAUGAAGUGAAAUAGCAGCUUGGGAAGGAACAGGCGGUCUGUUUGCAGUCUUAUGCUUCUCAUUUGUUUAAUCAAACAUCACUGCAGAGGAUUUAUCACACUUUGUCACUCUGCUUGUUCCCGCCUCGUUUGAGCUGAUCCACGCUGGACCAUUCUAACUGCACCUGGUGACUCAAAAAAUUACAUUUCAAUAUGAGUCACAUGAAGACGGCUUACUUGAAGAAAUAGUUUGACAUUUUGCAAGGUAUGCUUAUUUGAGGCGGGUGAAAAGAUUAAUACAACUGUCAUAUGAGGCUUUGGAGGUCAGUUAGCUAAGCUUACCUUAGGUGAGCACAGAAACAGAGAUAACUAGCCUGGCUUUGUUACUCUAGUUUUAAAUAAAAGAGACAGCUAUAGGAAAGCUUUAUUCUAAUUCUGGCAACAGAUCAGAGCUUUUGGACUCGGGUACGCUAUGUAUGUUGACAAUUGAAUAACAUCAGGUUAUUGGCAAUAUUUCCUCUUCAUGCAAUCUCUCUCUCUUGGUUUUUGCACCUGCAUACAAAUGAAGAACACCCUUUUUAUGAUGACAAGAUCCUUCUCUGUAAGACAACAACCAAAACCUGUAUAAAACCUAAAAACACUCCCCAUGUGGUGAACCUCUUUUAGUAAAUUAAAUUUACUAAUCUCAUAUCAGGUUACAGUCAAUAUUUCUUCCAAUGUGAUCUAAUUUUCUCUGUCUUCCUCUUUUUGUCUCUCUCUGUCUCUAUCCCUCUUCUUAUGAAGUUGUUCUUGUGCCAGUAAAUAAAAUCUUCCUCUAAAAGCUCAACCCCUGAAACCA